AGAGUUUGAUCCUGGCUCAGGAUGAACGCUGGCGGCGUGCUUAACACAUGCAAGUCGAACGAAGCACUUACGACAGAAGCUUUCGGGUGGAAGAUGUAAGUGACUGAGUGGCGGACGGGUGAGUAACGCGUGGGUAACCUGCCUCACACAGGGGGAUAACAGUUAGAAAUGACUGCUAAUACCGCAUAAUGUUAUUUGGGGGCAUCCCUGGAUAACCAAAGAUUUAUUGCUGAAAGAUGGUCUCGCGUCUGAUUAGCUAGAUGGCGGGGUAACGGCCCACCAUGGCGACGAUCAGUAGCCGGUCUGAGAGGAUGAACGGCCACAUUGGGACUGAGAUACGGCCCAGACUCCUACGGGAGGCAGCAGUGGGGAAUAUUGGGCAAUGGGCGAAAGCCUGACCCAGCAACGCCGCGUGAAGGAAGAAGGCCUUCGGGUUGUAAACUUCUUUUACCAGGGACGAAGAACGUGACGGUACCUGGAGAAAAAGCAACGGCUAACUACGUGCCAGCAGCCGCGGUAAUACGUAGGUUGCAAGCGUUGUCCGGAUUUACUGGGUGUAAAGGGCGUGUAGGCGGAGAUGCAAGUUGGGAGUGAAAUCCCGGGGCUCAACCCCGGAACUGCUUUCAAAACUGCAUCCCUUGAGUAUCGGAGAGGCAAGCGGAAUUCCUAGUGUAGCGGUGAAAUGCGUAGAUAUUAGGAGGAACACCAGUGGCGAAGGCGGCUUGCUGGACGACAACUGACGCUGAGGCGCGAAAGCGUGGGGAGCAAACAGGAUUAGAUACCCUGGUAGUCCACGCUGUAAACGAUGAAU
rnacentral:rRNA from 1 species